rnacentral:lncRNA from 1 species
GCCUGUGCUCUGGAGCUUGAUCCGAAAGCUUCCACAGUGAGGACUGCUCCGUGGGGGUAAGAGAGCACCAGGCACUGAGGCCUGGGAGUUCCACAGACCAACACCCCUGCUCCUGGCGGCUCCCACCCGGGACUUAGACCCUCAGGUCCCUAAUAUCCCGGAGGUGCUCUCAAUCAGAAAGGUCCUGCUCCGCUUCGCAGUGGAAUGGAACGGAUUUAGAAGCCUGCAGUAGGGGAGUGGGGAGUGGAGAGAGGGAGCCCAGAGUUACAGACGGCGGCGAGAGGAAGGAGGGGCGUCUUUAUUUUUUUAAGGCCCCAAAGAGUCUGAUGUUUACAAGACCAGAAAUGCCACGGCCGCGUCCUGGCAGAGAAAAGGCUGAAAUGGAGGACCGGCGCCUUCCUUAUAAGUAUGCACAUUGGCGAGAGAAGUGCUGCAACCUAAACCAGCAAUUACACCCAAGCUCGUUGGGGCCUAAGCCAGUACCGACCUGGUAGAAAAAGCAACCACGAAGCUAGAGAGAGAGCCAGAGGAGGGAAGAGAGCGCCAGACGAAGGUGAAAGCGAACCACGCAGAGAAAUGCAGGCAAGGGAGCAAGGCGGCAGUUCCCGGAACAAACGUGGCAGAGGGCAAGACGGGCACUCACAGACAGAGGAGUGAUUAUGCAGUGGGACCCUGCUGCAAACGGGACUUUGCACUCUAAAUAUAGACCCCAGCUUGGGACAAAAGUUGCAGUAGAAAAAUAGACAUAGGAGAACACUUAAAUAAGUGAUGCAUGUAGACACAGAAGGGGUAUUUAAAAGACAGAAAUAAUAGAAGUACAGAAGAACAGAAAAAAAAUCAGCAGAUGGAGAUUACCAUUCCCAAUGCCUGAACUUCCUCCUGCUAUUAAGAUUGCUAGAGAAUUGUGUCUUAAACAGUUCAUGAACCCAGAAGAAUGCAAUUUCAAUGUAUUUAGUACACACACAGUAUGUAUAUAAACACAACUCACAGAAUAUAUUUUCCAUACAUUGGGUAGGUAUGCACUUUGUGUAUAUAUAAUAAUGUAUUUUCCAUGCAGUUUUAAAAUGUAGAUAUAUUAAUAUCUGGAUGCAUUUUCUGUGCACUGGUUUUAUAUGCCUUAUGGAGUAUAUACUCACAUGUAGCUAAAUAGACUCAGGACUGCACAUUCCUUGUGUAGGUUGUGUGUGUGUGGUGGUUUUAUGCAUAAAUAAAGUUUUACAUGUGGUGAA